CUGUAUAGUGAUAAAGGGUACCCGUUAAAGAGGCAACUAAUAACCGUUUUCUAAUGUACAUUUAACAGAACAGCAUCAGGGAUUUAAUAAACAAAUGUCAAAACUCCGCCAAUGUGUAGAAUGGAGUUUCGGAAAAAUUAUCCAACAAUUUGCUUUCUCUUAUAGGUAUUAAAAAUGUUGUUGCUUAUUCCAUAGAUACGAGUAGAGGUAGUACAGCUUUAUUCUAUCAAGCAUUCAAAUAAAAACCUGGGCUCGGGAGACUAUGGAAUCUUCUUUUGUUUUUUAAUUUUCCAGCGUAGAAUUUUGACAGUCGUUGAGGCCACUGCCAUUACGAAAUGUCAGUAUUGUCAAACGAAAAUCUUUGAUUUCACUCAAAAACCUGCUAAGAGUUAAAUUAAGCUCCAUGCGCAGUGACCCAAGGCAGCCAAAACUUGAAAAAGUAGAAAGAAAAUUUGUCUUCAAAAUUUUGGUGCUUUCAUUUUGCUGUCACUUUUAGACCUUCGAUUCAAAUACACAGGCAUAUUGAUGAAUAAAUGAGUGGGCUUUCAAGUAAACCUGGCUAGAGUGAGUCAAAGGACAAACUAAGAGCAUGUUUGUUGUGGGGAAAAUG